UCAGUUAUGAAUUUGUGCUAUAGGAGAAGCAGGUGCUUCCUGGGAGGCGCAGGAGCAAAGCUCUCCUUUAGACUGUCGCCAUUUUUAUUCCCAUCAUUCAUCUUCAGUGAGAACCUCUGAAAGGCAACUGAGAGGUUCAGAGACAAAUAUUUCUUUCCCCUUUGAUAGCCUCCAAGGUCUGAGUAGUGCUCGGCACCAAGAGGGGGAAACAAAGAUGGUACAGGAAUGGGUAAAUUCAGUUCUGGAAGAUGUGAGCUCUGCGUUUGGAACCCGUGUCUUCUCACCCAGAUCACACAGUCCUGGGAUAAUAUGAGGAGAACACUGAGAGCAAAGAGCCCCAAAUGGGAAUGGUGGCUGGAUUUAUUGUUUUAUCUGAGCCACCAGAUGCUGUGUUCAGGCUCUUGAUGGUUUCCCCAUUGGAUUCUAGUUGUUUGUGGUCACAAAGCCCUCCCCAUCAAGGCCAUCCUAAUCCAAAAUCUAAAAUAGAUUUUCUAUGAUGAAGAUAAAUGGUAAGUGUAGAAAUUCAGGGUCAGCUGAACCUUAUCUUUAUAAACUGCACCAAGUUAUAAACUUCUUGAGGGUGGAAACCACGUCUUUCUUGCUCACAACUGCAGCCUGAGGGACCAGCAUCACCUGGCAUAGAAAAGGUGCUUGAUAAAUGCCAAGUUCAGCAAUUGAGUGGAAGGCCUGCAGCCACGGGCCAGGGUGCCAGGUGGGCUUGGCAGAACCACAUGAAAGUCCUCUCCACCUGGAAAGGUCUUCCUCUGGUCUUUCUCUUCAUUCCAACCUCAGCUCCAUGACCCCUCCUCAGAAAUGGUCCCUGAACACCCUAUCUGAAGUUGACCUUUCCAUUACAUCUCUACCCCUUGUCCCUAUUUAGUUCUCUAAUAACAAAUGUCACGAUCUCCAGCUCUCAGAUUUCCUAACUCGUUUAUUAUUCUUAUUUGAUUACAUGCUUCCUACACCAUAAUAUCAGCACGGCUGAACUCUCCACCCACAGCACCUGGAACAGGUUCUUGGCCCAGUAGGCAGGCACUCCAUGAAUUCGAGUCGAAUGAACAAAGCAGCAUUAGAUUAUGAGAACAAGAGAGACACUUUCCUCAGUUCUACGACACACGUUUUAUUGAUUCUGGACCUGCGCUGCAUCUUACAACCGAUGUUGGGGGCGUGGCCAAGGUUAGCAAACUGACAACCAGACACAGGUGUGCCUGUGGCUGCUAUUAUGUGGGCCGCUGCCUUUUCCUCAUUAGCCCAGGUCCCACUCUGCCUCUCACCUGGCCGGCGCACCUGAACCCACUGAGGAUGGAGCGAGACGGCAAAAUGGCUGCACCGCUGCGGCAGCGCUUCUUCUGUCCCUCGGGGUCUAGGAGUGGCUCACUCAGCGUCCAGACACUGAUCCCGUCAACUUGCUGAAGCUCAGGCCCAGGAUGCAAGUGGUCAUAAAAAGAGGUACUGUCUAGAGAGGAGCAACCCAAGUCCCUGCCUUCCAUAUACUUACACUUCUGGGGAGGAAGUGUAAUAAAUAAACAAGCCAAUAAAUAAACAAUAAACCUGUAAAUAUAUAAAGGA